CCAACGGCCCUCUUUAGGGCCACAUUGAGGGUAAAAAAUACUUUU
rfam:Oesophagostomum dentatum strain OD-Hann O_dentatum-1.0_Cont22855.1, whole genome shotgun sequence.